AGCAGAGCCACGGGAAUACGUAGGUGGCGAGCGUUGUCCGGAAUUAUUGGGCGUAAAGGGCUCGCAGGCGGCUUCUUAAGUCUGAUGUGAAAGCCCCCGGCUCAACCGGGGAGGGUCAUUGGAAACUGGGAAACUUGAGUGCAGAAGAGGAGAGUGGAAUUCCACGUGUAGCGGUGAAAUGCGUAGAGAUGUGGAGGAACACCAGUGGCGAAGGCGACUCUCUGGACUGUAACUGACGCUGAGGAGCGAAAGCGUGGGGGGCGAACAGGAUUAGAUACCCCCGUAGUCCCUGUCUCUUAUACA
rnacentral:rRNA from 1 species